CAGUCGCCGCGGGAAUACGAAGGGUGCAAGCGUUACUCGGAAUUACUGGGCGUAAAGCGUGCGUAGGUGGUGGUUAAGUCCGUUGUGAAAGCCCUGGGCUCAACCUGGGAAUUGCAGUGGAUACUGGGUCACUAGAGUGUGGUAGAGGAUAGUGGAAUUUCCGGUGUAGCAGUGAAAUGCGUAGAGAUCGGAAGGAACAUCUGUGGCGAAGGCGACUAUCUGGGCCAACACUGACACUGAGGCACGAAAGCGUGGGGAGCAAACAGGAUUAGAUACCCCAGUAGUCCCUGUCUCUUAUACA
rnacentral:rRNA from 1 species